rnacentral:rRNA from 1 species
GAAUUUUGGACAAUGGGCGAAAGCCUGAUCCAGCAACGCCGCGUGAGUGAAGAAGGUUUUCGGAUCGUAAAACUCUGUUGUCGGAGAAGAACAAGUAGGAGAGUAACUGUUCCUACCUUGACGGUACCCGAACCGAAAGCCACGGCUAACUCCGUCCCCGCCGCCGCGGUAAUACGUAGGUGGCAAGCGUUGUCCGGAUUUAUUGGGCGUAAAGCGAGCGCAGGUGGUUUCUUAAGUCUGAUGUGAAAGCCCACGGCUCAACCGUGGAAGGUCAUUGGAAACUGGGGAACUUGAAUGCAGAAGAGGAGAGUGGAAUUCCAUGUGUAGCGGUGAAAUGCGUAGAUAUAUGGAGGAACACCAGUGGCGAAGGCGACUCUCUGGUCUGUUAUUGACACUGAGGCUCGAAAGCGUGGGGAGCAAACA